rnacentral:rRNA from 1 species
GCGCGNGCUAUACAUGCAAGUCGAGCGAGACCGUACGGGAGCUUGCUCCGCUUAGGUCACCGGCGGACGGGUGAGUAACACGUGGGUAACCUGCCUGUAGGACUGGGAUAACUCCGGGAAACCGGGGCUAAUACCGGAUGCUUGAUUGAACCGCAUGGUUCAAUCAUAAAAGGUGGCUUUUAUCUACCACUUACAGAUGGACCCGCGGCGCAUUAGCUAGUUGGUGAGGUAACGGCUCACCAAGGCGACGAUGCGUAGCCGACCUGAGAGGGUGAUCGGCCACACUGGGACUGAGACACGGCCCAUACUCCUACGGGAGGCAGCAUUAGGGAAUCUUCCGCAAUGGACGAAAGUCUGACGGAGCAACGCCGCGUGAGUGAUGAAGGUUUUCGGAUCGUAAAACUCUGUUGUUAGGGAAGAACAAGUACCGUUCGAAUAGGGCGGCACCUUGACGGUACCUAACCAGAAAGCCACGGCUAACUACGUGCCAGCAGCCGCGGUAAUACGUAGGUGGCAAGCGUUGUCCGGAAUUAUUGGGCGUAAAGCGCGCGCAGGCGGUUUCUUAAGUCUGAUGUGAAAGCCCCCGGCUCAACCGGGGAGGGUCAUUGGAAACUGGGGAACUUGAGUGCAAAAGAGGAGAGUGGAAUUCCACGUGUAGCGGUGAAAUGCGUAGAGAUGUGGAGGAACACCAUUGGCGAAGGCGACUCUCUGGUCUGUAACUGACGCUGAUGCGCGAAAGCGUGGGGAGCGAACAUGAUUAGAUACCCUGGUAGUCCACGCCGUAAACGAUGAGUGCUAAGUGUUAGAGGGUUUCCGCCCUUUAGUGCUGCAGCAAACGCAUUAAGCACUCCGCCUGGGGAGUACGGUCGCAAGACUGAAACUCAAAGGAAUUGACGGGAGCCCGCACAAGCGGUGGAGCAUGUCGUUUAAUUCGAGCAUCGCNAGAACCUUACCAGGUCAUGACAUCCUCUGACGACCCUAUAGAUAGAGCUUCCCCUUCGGGGCAAACUGACAGUGUGCAUGGGUUGUCGUCA